CCUACGGGCGGCAGCAGUGAGGAAUAUUGGUCAAUGGACGCAAGUCUGAACCAGCCAUGCCGCGUGCAGGAAGACGGCUCUAUGAGUUGUAAACUGCUUUUGUACGAGGGUAAACACAGAUACGCGUAUCUGUCUGAAAGUAUCGUACGAAUCAGGAUCGGCUAACUCCGUGCCAGCAGCCGCGGUAAUACGGAGGCUUAAAGCGUUAUCCGGAUUUAUUGGGUUUAAAGGGUGCGUAGGCGGUCGGAUAAGUUAGAGUGGAAAUCCCGAGGCUAAACUUCGGAAUUGCCUCUGAUACUGUUCGGCUAGGGAGGAGAUGGGUAAGGCGAAAUGUAGGGGGUGGGGUGAAA
rnacentral:rRNA from 1 species